GUGCUCUAGAAAACUCCCAUGGUCAAUGAUAUUGCAAAAUGCUGAGAAACAUGGCAGAACCAAUGGAAUUACAUUCUCAUAUUCAACUCUGGCAUAAGUUAUCUGCAACAGCUGUUUCUUUUCCUAAACUAGACCUGAAAUCAGACUGAUUGCAAGAAUCUUCAUAGACUACUAGACUUCACCUAGGAUCACCAGGAAAAGGCCACCUGUCAUACCUGAGUUGUUUUUGCAAAUGUUCAUCUUGCCAUGGAGUGAAUUAUCCAAACAAGUCAUCAAAAAAAGAAAAAAGAAAAAAAAAAAACUUGUUUACAUUCUUAUUGAAAAACAUCUUCAGGUACACAUACAAUCAAUUCACAAAAAGAAUUUCUUCAGAGGUUCAAAAGGCAAAGUAUAGUUGUAUAAGUGCAGGCUGAAUUGCCAUUUUGUGUCACCCAUGUGCAAUUUUUCAAUACAAGUUCCUUUUUGGGUAUUACAGGAAAUGUGAUCAACUCAGCUAACAGAUAAUACAGCCAAUAGUUUCUUCAUCGUUUCUGAAGUGACCUUGCUGUAAUAAAAUUUUCUGAGUUUCGAUCUUCA